rnacentral:sRNA from 1 species
UGUUCACUACAAUAGUUCUUUAAACCUAUUCAUGCAAACAUAGCUAAACAUGUGUGAACAUACCAUAUCCCUUGAAACCUCCCAUGGGGCGCCUAUUAUAACUUCAUCAACAUAGCGACAUGCAAGUACACUAAGAGUACGCUCGUGGAGGUGCAUGAUAGGACGAUACCCUCUUCUAUCCCUGGACAUUUAAUUUGCAUAAGCAUCUUAUAUGAACUUUCAAAAGAGAAAUCACAUAACAUGAAUUGGUCUCAAUACCUCAACAUGGCCGGCAUGAAAAAGGUCAAAAGCACCAUCUAUAUACACAACGCGAGCACCUGGCAAAGGAGCCUGAGUGCAUAUGAGCUAUUGUUCAAUAAAAGCAAUAGAGUGACAUGUCAUAGAAAUAUGUAAAAAAAAAAAUAUCAACUUUAUACUGUCAACAUUAUCAUUCAUGACCAAGAUUGAAACAAUACAAAUGGGUGUAUUAUCAUUAAUGUGCGUGAUCAGUCAGAAUAGCUGAUGCCGAUACUGAACCAUGUGGUCAUCUUACCGACUAUAUCAGUGCUUGAGACACCUUCAGUGCGUUUGAUUUGCUUGUAGCGUCCAACCUUCUUUGCCAACGCAUAAGCAUCCGUUCCAUCAGGUAGAAGACAAGGAUCAUCUCCAUGUAUAAUGUAAUCAAUGUUAUAUUUAUUGAAGAGGGUAUUCAUAAAUUCUUCCGUGAUCUCAUAGGGCGCGUUGGGAAUGACCUCAUCCACCCACUUCAAUCCACUAACAAUACCUCUCUUCCAUUGAAAGCACAGGUGGACCCUUGUUCGCCACAAUCUCCUCAUCACUAACAACUCCCACUACAAGUUGAUCUCCCAACAACUUGGCCUGCCGUAAUGCAUUUGCAUGGCCAUAAUGCAUGAGGUCAAAGCAUCCAUCCAUGUACACUCUCACAGG